rnacentral:rRNA from 1 species
AACGAACGCUGGCGGCAUGCCUAACACAUGCAAGUCGAACGAGAUCUUCGGGUCUAGUGGCGCACGGGUGCGUAACGCGUGGGAAUCUGCCCUUUGGUUCGGAAUAACAGUUGGAAACGACUGCUAAUACCGGAUGAUGACGAAAGUCCAAAGAUUUAUCGCCGGAGGAUGAGCCCGCGUAGGAUUAGCUAGUUGGUGUGGUAAAGGCGCACCAAGGCGACGAUCCUUAGCUGGUCUGAGAGGAUGAUCAGCCACACUGGGACUGAGACACGGCCCAGACUCCUACGGGAGGCAGCAGUGGGGAAUAUUGGACAAUGGGCGAAAGCCUGAUCCAGCAAUGCCGCGUGAGUGAUGAAGGCCUUAGGGUUGUAAAGCUCUUUUACCCGGGAUGACAAUGACAGUACCGGGAGAAUAAGCUCCGGCUAACUCCGUGCCAGCCGCCGCCGUAA